GUUUCAGCAGGAGAAAGAAGUCACCUAUUAUACCGGAUACGACCACCGGGUGCCUGCCCGGUGGUGGAAAGUUGUGUCGGUCAGGGAUGGGCUCGCGGCCUAUCAGCUGGUUGGUGGGGUAACGGCCUACCAAGGCGAUUACGGGUAGCCGGCCUGAGAGGGCGACCGGCCACACUGGGACUGAGACACGGCCCAGACUCCUGCGGGAGGCAGCAGUGGGGAAUAUUGCGCAAUGGGCGAAAGCCUGACGCAGCGACGCCGCGUGGGGGAUGACGGCCUUCGGGUUGUAAACCUCUUUUACCACCAACGCAGGCUCGGGGUUUUCUCCGGGUUGACGGUAGGUGGGGAAUAAGGACCGGCUAACUACGUGCCAGCAGCCGCGGUAAUACGUAGGGUCCGAGCGUUGUCCGGAAUUAUUGGGCGUAAAGAGCUCGUAGGCGGCGUGUCGCGUCUGCAUUGAAAGACCGGGGCUUAACUCCGGUUUGGCAGUGGAUACGGGCAUGCUUGAGGUAGGUAGGGGAGACUGGAAUUCCUGGUGUAGCGGUGAAAUGCGCAGAUAUCAGGAGGAACACCGGUGGCGAAGGCGGGUCUCUGGGCCUUACCUGACGCUGAGGAGCGAAAGCAUGGGGAGCGAACAGGAUUAGAUACCCUGGUAGUCCAUGCCGUAAACGUUGGGCGCUAGGUGUGGGGACUUUCCACGGUUUCCGCGCCGUAGCUAACGCAUUAAGCGCCCCGCCUGGGGAGUACGGCCGCAAGGCUCAAACUCAAAGGAAGUUGACGGGGGCCCCCACAAGCGGCCGAGCAUGUAACUUAAUUCAACGCAACCGAAAAACCUUACCAGGAUUGACAUCACCCCGUGACCUGCAGAGUGGGGUCAUUU
rnacentral:rRNA from 1 species